CCUACGGGAGGCUGCAGUGGGGAAUAUUGCACAAUGGGCGCAAGCCUGAUGCAGCCAUGCCGCGUGUGUGAAGAAGGCCUUCGGGUUGUAAAGCACUUUCAGCGGGGAGGCGUUACCCGCAGAAGAAGCACCGGCUAACUCCGUGCCAGCAGCCGCGGUAAUACGGAGGGUGCAAGCGUUAAUCGGAAUUACUGGGCGUAAAGCGCACGCAGGCGGUCUGUCAAGUCGGAUGUGAAAUCCCCGGGCUCAACCUGGGAACUGCAUUCGAAACUGGCAGGCUAGAGUCUUGUAGAGGGGGGUAGAAUUCCAGGUGUAGCGGUGAAAUGCGUAGAGAUCUGGAGGAAUACCGGUGGCGAAGGCGGCCCCCUGGACAAGCUGACGCUCAGGUGCGAAAGCGUGGGGAGCAAACAGGAUUAGAUACCCUAGUAGUC
rnacentral:rRNA from 1 species